AGUGAACGCUGGCGGCAGGCCUAAUACAUGCAAGUCGAACGGCAGCACAGCAGAGCUUGCUCUGUGGGUGGCGAGUGGCGGACGGGUGAGGAAUACAUGGGAAUCUGCCCAGUCGUGGGGGAUAACGUAUGGAAACGUACGCUAAUACCGCAUGCGCCCUAAGGGGGAAAGCCGGGGACCGCAAGGCCUGGCGCGAUUGGAUGAGCCCAUGUUCGAUUAGCUAGUUGGCGGGGUAAAGGCCCACCAAGGCGACGAUCGAUAGCUGGUCUGAGAGGAUGAUCAGCCACACUGGAACUGAGACACGGUCCAGACUCCUACGGGAGGCAGCAGUAGGGAAUAUUGGACAAUGGGGGCAACCCUGAUCCAGCCAUGCCGCGUGAGUGAUGAAGGCCUUAGGGUUGUAAAGCUCUUUCGCCCGCGAAGAUAAUGACUGUAGCGGGAGAAGAAGCCCCGGCUAACUUCGUGCCAGCAGCCGCGGU
rnacentral:rRNA from 1 species